rnacentral:rRNA from 1 species
AAUAUUGCACAAUGGAGGGAACGCUGAUGCAGCGACGCCGCGUGAACGAUGAAGGCCUUCGGGUCGUAAAGUUCUGUCCUUGGGGACGAUAAUGGCGGUACCCAAGGAGGAAGCCCCGGCUAACUACGUGCCAGCAGCCGCGGUAAUACGUAGGGGGCGAGCGUUGUCCGGAAUUAUUGGGCGUAAAGGGUUCGCAGGCGGCCUUUUAAGUCAGAUGUGAAAGCCCACGGCUCGACCGUGGCAAGCAUUUGAAACUGGAAGGCUUGAGUUAAGGAGAGGAAAGUGGAAUUCCUAGUGUAGCGGUGAAAUGCGUAGAUAUUAGGAGGAAUACCAGUGGCGAAGGCGACUUUCUGGACUUAUACUGACGCUGAGGAACGAAAGCGUGGGGAGCAAACA